rnacentral:rRNA from 1 species
UUUGAGUUUGAUUCCUGGUUCCGGACCGAACGCCUGGCGGCAUGCCUAAAUCCAUGCCAAGUCGAACGCUGAAGCACUUUCCUUGCAGAGUGCGGAAGAGGGGCGAACGGGUGAGUAACACGUGGGAAAUCUGCCUAGGAGUGGGGGAUAACAUUUGGAAACGGAUGCUAAUACCGCAUAUCUUUUUGAACCGCAUGGUUCUUAAACGAAAGACGGCUUCGGCUGUCGCUCUUAGAUGAUCCCGCGGCGUAUUAGUUAGUUGGUGGGGUAAAGGCCUACCAAGACCAUGAUACGUAGCCGACCUGAGAGGGUGAUCGGCCACACUGGGACUGAGACACGGCCCAGACUCCUACGGGAGGCAGCAGUAGGGAAUCUUCCACAAUGGGUGAAAACCUGAUGGAGCAAUGCCGCGUGAAUGAAGAAGGUCUUCGGAUCGUAAAGUUCUGUUAUUAGAGAAGAACAAGUCAAGGAGUAACUGUCUUGACUUUGACGGUACCUAACCAGAAAGUCACGGCUAACUACGUGCCAGCAGCCGCGGUAAUACGUAGGUGACAAGCGUUGUCCGGAAUUAUUGGGCGUAAAGGGAGCGCAGGCGGUUGGAAUAGUCUGAUGUGAAAGCCCACGGCUUAACCGUGGAAGGUCAUUGGAAACUGUCCAACUUGAAUACAGAAGAGGUAAGUGGAAUUCCAAGUGUAGCGGUGAAAUGCGUAGAUAUUUGGAGGAACACCAGUGGCGAAGGCGACUUACUGGUCUGUAAUUGACGCUGAGGCUCGAAAGCGUGGGUAGCAAACAGGAUUAGAUACCCUGGUAGUCCACGCCGUAAACGAUGAGUGCUAAGUGUUAGGGGGUUUCCGCCCCUUAGUGCUGGAGUUAACGCAUAAGCCACUCCG